rnacentral:lncRNA from 1 species
CUUUUCAGGUGCUGUUAGAGUCUGUAAACAAGUCAAAAAUAACACCUGGCAUUUUGCCAGGGGAAUGUUAGAGUUCGUAAACAAGUCUGGAUGGUGCCUGGCAAAAUGCCAGAGGGAGUGGUUUGAGAAGUAACAAAAGCGAGCCAUUAAGUGUGGAGAUUCCUUAUUGGUUGACUGAUGUAUAAUUAGAUAAGCUGUGUGGAAUGUAUAAAUACUGCUCCUGUCCUGCAAUAAACGGCUCCUACUCCUGCUGUAUCAACGUACACAAGUUAUUCGUCACCCCCCGGUUAUUUUGCCCAGCCAGCCGGGCUGUGGCAGAUGGUGGCCCGUUACGGGGAGCCCCGGGACACUUGGGGGUAAGUGACGAAAAAAAAAGCUGCCCGUCCAUAGAUAGGACGGGAGCAAAUCUGCUCGUCCCUAGACAGAUAGGGCGAGAGGGAAAAUGACCAUUUCGAGAAAAUGGAAAAGAUUGAUACAGUAUGUUUGUGUCUUGUUUUGUCUCAGUGUAUUGUAUUGUCUUUGUGACGAAAAUAUGGAAGGGGUGAGAAGUAAAUUACUAAGGGAAGAAGGCACCCCAGUGGAACCAAGAAUAGUUAGGGCAUGUGUUGAUAAGAGCCCAGGAACUCUAGUCAGAAAGAAAAAGAAAGUUCAAAAGAAGAAGGAUUAUCAGAAAAAAAGUUGCAGCAAAAGGCUAUUACUGNUGGUUCUCCCACACCUGGAAGCUAAUGAGUAAUAACACUAUUAAUGCUUAUUUCAAAUGUAAAAAACCUUGAGAUAAUGUACUAAAUUGUUCAGAAGGCUGUUUUCUUAGUUGAAUGCUACAGGAUUUUCUUUAGCCAUCCGGAGUUCCUGCCUUCGUCCCAGUGCCGGUAAAGACCAAGGUGGAAGAAUUUCCAGUGUUGCUGAAAACUGGAGGAGACUUCAGAGCUAUUGCUGUUUCUGCUGCUACAACUUAAGCUAGCUGCCUGCAGAACUUACCUGGACUGUGAUUUACCUGGACUGUGAAUUAAUCUAUUGAGACACUGCUUUCUGGAAUGAGACAACAAACUGUAAUCUGUAACAAAUUGUAACUCGGUAUCUUUGCUAACAGUGUCAUUGCUGGUAUAAUUUUUCCAAGGGCUUCUUGCAUGGAGCCAUCAAUUGGCUUGGUAUUGUGGCAUUUUGUAUCCUCCCUUUCUGUUUGUAGCAGGUUAUUUAUGGUGUUUCUGUAAAAACCACUAUGGUCGUUAUUUAAAUUAAACAAAAGGGGGAAAUGUUAGAGUCUGUAAACAAGUCAAAAAUAACACCUGGCAUUUUGCCAGGGGAAUGUUAGAGUUCGUAAACAAGUCUGGAUGGUGCCUGGCAAAAUGCCAGAGGGAGUGGUUUGAGAAGUAACAAAAGCGAGCCAUUAAGUGUGGAGAUUCCUUAUUGGUUGACUGAUGUAUAAUUAGAUAAGCUGUGUGGAAUGUAUAAAUACUGCUCCUGUCCUGCAAUAAACGGCUCCUACUCCUGCUGUAUCAACGUACACAAGUUAUUCGUCACCCCCCCGGUUAUUUUGCAGCCAGCCGGCCUUCUACAAGGUGCUAUCUUGACAACAGGAUUCUUGAAACCUCUCUCAGAUAAUUCUAAUGUACAAGUGAAGCUGAGAAUCAGUUUCAAGCCACAUUCUAUCUCUACACUUUAACUGUGUUUCAUUGAUCUAAUUACAACACAUUUUUCUGCAGAUUGUCAUUUUUCCCCAGAGAAGCCUGACCUGAUAUCCCUAAGUAUUCUUAAUUUAUACUCCUAUAUUAUUCUGAUACUUCCCUGAUCAAAACGCUCAACAUUUUACCCACAAACAUAUUUAAUGUUUAUCUUUUCUGCCAGAAUACUCUGAGAGCUGUGGGAGUUUCUGGAUUUUCGUUUUUGUGCUAUUCCUUUUUACUGCCAAUGUAUACAAGGUCCCAAAUAAUAAAAUAACUCACACUAUGAAGAAGAAGUUUCCACAAUAAUAUAAUUUUCAAUAUAUUGAACACUAUACUAAAUUUUCUGUAUGUUAUUGAAUAUGACAUAAUGGAGAGUUACAAGCAUUAGUGCUAAAUCUCAAUAGCUUUCUUAAAUGUGAUAUAGAUAAAAUGAAAUAAUACACUACAAAGGCAAAUAAAAUCUCCCAAGGUCAGAAGCUAGGAAAUACAGUCAAAUCCAAAGUAAAAAUUAGGUUGGCACCAAAGUGUCUGUUUUCUAUUGCACCACACUGCAUUUCAAUAACUUGAAAAAAUACUUUAAAGACAUCAGACAUAUACCAAAAUAGAUGAGGUUAUUUUGGUAAAUAUAUUUAUAUUUAUAUUUGAUAUCUUGGCAGAUAUCAAACAGGUACUUUAUAUCUCAUUUGUUUACAUUACAUCUAAAUUAGCAUUUUCUCUCAGAAGCCUAACCUAAAGUUCUUUCUAAAAUUGCAAUAUGAACUUCAAUACUACCAUGUUAUCAUGAACCUCAAUUACUUUUUAAAAAUAUUUACCUUCUAAUACAACCAUAAAGUAUCUAAUGGUACAUAAUUAAAUUGGAUACCAUUAAAUUACAUAAAUUUAUUAAAUUACAUAUUACAGAGACAAAUUUGUGUAUUAUGAAACUUUUUUUAAAAAAUAUAAGAUUUAAAAAUAAUGAUGUAAAUUUUUGUUCCUUUUGUAUAAAUUUCUGUUUAGAACACAAUGAAUUCCCUUUUAAUUUUUUUUUUUUCUGAAGUAUCGACAUCAACAGUUCUUUAUUGAGAGAAAAGGUAUCUUCUGCUAGUCUUGGGUGUUCAUAAUACAAACAUUAUUACAUAGAGCAUGCCUUCAUUAACUAAAGGCCUUAUUUUGUUGUACAAGUUUAAAAUAUUUUGCAUUUUUUUGAAAUAUAGACUAUUGAACUUAUUCAAAUUCAAAAUGUUUAAUAAGUAAACUCUUUUUCUCUGACAAGUAUACAGGGUGGAUGAUAAUUUCCAGCACAGAUUAUCAUCCUAAAGAAUUAUUUCAAAUACUAAAAAUAAAAUGUUUGCAGCUUUGAGAUUUAAGAACAUAUUAAACCUAAAAAAAUGGAUGUUCUGUAUCACAUUUUUUUCCUAUAUAAAAUGUUUAGCUUACAAAAUGAUAUUUUCAUAUGAAUGUACUAUUCUGUUCUUUUUGUAAAAAAAUCAAAUUUACAAGGUCUUUAUUGUAUUGAUUGGUUUACAUAUUUUCAGGUUGAAGCUGAGUAUGGUUGUUGCAUUAUUAUUUUUCAUUUGGAACUUAAUGAUUUUCUGCCAGCAACUUACAAGUUAAUUUUAAAAAAGAAAUAGUUGUUAUUACAUGAUUUAUAUAUUUUGUAAAAGAUAGUGCCAUAAUUGGAACUCUUUUAUCAGUCUGUCAAGACUAAAACUGAGCUUUGAUGUUGUUGCCAUUUUAAGAUUUGUUGAAGAUUCUUUUUCAUCAGGAAAUUUUAGGCUUUUUUUUAAUUUAUUUUUUGAUGGGAGGGUGGUACUGAAGAUUGAACUUGGGGGCAUUCCACCCCUCAUGGCUCGGCCUCCUGAGCCACUGGGAUUAUAAGCAUGUGCCAGUAUGCUCAGCUUAAGUUUUUAAAUUUUAGAUAUUUCACAUCAUUUACAUGAACAAUAAACUAGACAUGAUAAAUUGAUUAUUCAACAUUCACUCUUCUUGAUUUUAGGAGUAGAUUUUUAUCACAUUUGGAAUUACUUUUUGAGAAAUUAUCAAAAUUUUGUUACCAUAUUGCUCUUUAAACUCAGGGAAGUUUGACAGAAAACAAGAAACAAAGUACUUGUAUUUUGGAAAUCAUAUAUAAUUGUAAUUCAAUGUGAACUUUAAAUAUACAUUAAGCAAGUUUCUUUUUUUAUUCUACAAUUUGAUUUGAAAAUAUAUAAAAUAAGAAAGACAAAAUUGUUUGCAAUUUGAAAUUUUAAACUUAAUUGAUCUGCCUAUUCUAGUGUUUUAAUUUACCUAUAAAUUAGAUGAUUCAUAGAUGUUAUCCUUCAGGGAAACUUCUCCUAAAUUUGGGUAUUUUUCACUUGGGCACUGAUUUUUACAUUAGCAUAUGAUUGGCUAUCUAUAAAAUGCCAAUUACAUAUGUGCCGUGUUUGGACUAAAAACUGAUUUAGUAUUUUUGUGGGUUUUCUUAAUGUGAUGCUGGGGAUCAAACCCAGAACCUCAAGCAUGGCAGAUAAGCACUCUACCACUCAUCUACAUCCCUAGUCUCUCAACCAGUACUUUUUGAACAAGUUUAACUAAUAGAAAACAUAAGUAGAAAGAUAUGAAUUAAUAUUUUAGCUAUUUUUCUAAGUAGCUAAACUACAUUAGGAAAGCAGUUUUACAUUUCUAACCAUCAACCCAUACUGUUUUAAUAAUUAGAAAGACUCUUCCAAUGAAAUAAAAAUGAGCAUAAUUAAAUCCAUAAAAUUAGUAUGUUUAUAGGUCCUUGCAUUUGUUUUUAUAAAAAGGUUGACAAAUUUCAUGUAGCAUUAUUUAUUAAAUUCCUUCUUGAAGACUUUUUAAUUAAUACAGCUCAAUGUCUUUACUAUUCUUUCCAAAAUUCAUAGGUUUUAUCUGUAUCUCUUAUAUCUAAGACUAUUUGGUCUUAAAUAUUAUUCUAGCUAUCCUAAUAAGUUGUGUUUCUGCUCUCUGUAAUAAACCAUAAAUCAUAAGUUAUUUUGGUCAACAUGAUAAAUAUAUAAUUUUGGUACUUCAUCAAAUAAAUCUUCUCUAAAAUCCGCACAUAGGUAUUUUUAUUUGCAAUUAGCAGGUAUCAUAAGUAUCUUCAUAUAUCCAAUUUGGAAUACCCUUUGAGUGAUUUUAUUGAUUUUUCUUUGUUACAGAUUUCUACUACUUAUUGCUUAAUCCAUAAAUACUUCAUUUUUUGUAAUUGACCUGUCAUAGUGAAAUUUUAACAUAUAAUAAAUUUUUCAUAGAGCUUUUACAUAUUUCUGCAAUAUUUGUCAUCUUCUAUUGUCAUGGAAAAAUUUUACACUGUCAAAAUUAGAAAAUUUAUCACAAAAAUUCUUGGUGAUGUUAAACCAUGACAGAAAGAAAAGACCACUGACUCCAAUUUUAAAUCAAAUUAAAGCAAGCUUGUAAUUCUGGCUGGCCAAGUCUGUCUCUCCUGAAACCCAUGGGUAAGCUCUCUAAAAGCAUAGUUUUAUAGCACAAAAAGUUGCAAAAGGGGGGUGUCUUGAGAACUUAUACUUAACAGGAUUUUGACAAGCAUAAUACAAAGGCAGAUAGUAGGUUAAUGAUCUAAAUGGUUCAACAAUUCAAGUUAGGAAGUAAAUUUAGAUCCUAACACCAGAAUUUAUGAGGCACCACUAAGGUUUCAGAGAGGGUUGUUAUCUGGUCAGGGAAAACCAGGCAUGGGUGAGUUCAAGGCACAGGCAGGCAUUCUAAGCACAUUUGGAAGCCGCAGUAAUUUAUAGUAAAACAAAAAUUAACUUUUUAUGACUUUGUGAUGAGGUGGCUCCCAAUCUUAAGAUAGAAUUAGGCUGGGUUCUUCAGUUAAAACUCAUUAAAUAUGUCUAAUAUCAUUAGUCCUUAGGUGAUAGAUCCAACCUGAUCUUUUCUUAAAAUUGGGCAUCUCGCCAUAAAACCAUGAAAAGAUAAUUUCGGCUUUACUAUAAAUUACUGCAAAUUCUGAACCUACUUGGAAUGCCUGCCCAUGCCCUGAACUCACCCAUGUCUGGUUUUCCCUGACCCAACCCUUUCCUAAACCUUAGUGACGCCUCAUAAAUUCUGGCCUUCCCUGACCGGAUAACGACCCUCUCUGAGUCUCUAAGAUCUACAUAAAUUCUGAUGCCUGGGCCAGCAAAAAUGUAAACUUGUGUUAUGCUCCUCAGAGUGUUGUUAUAUGUAACCCCCCUUUGUGUAACUUUUUGGGCUAUAAAACUGGGCCACAAAGAAACCUAGGGGCUGUCUUGUUCCCACCAUUUUGGGAGGGAGAGGCAGCCCAGCCGGUCGAAAUAAUAAGCUUGCUUUAAUUUGAUUUUAAUUGGAGUCAGUGGUCUUUUCUUGCGUCCUGGUCUAACAUAGGGAAUACAAAUAGAAAUUGCAUCAAGAUAUUACUUAUGGUCACUAAUAUGCAAUAAUUUAAAAAAAGAGGAAAAUAUUCAACUAUGAUCAUAAAUACCUUUCAUCCCAGCUCCUGAGGCUGAGUCAAGACAACUAGGUUGAAGCCAGCCUACGCAAUUUAUCAAGAACUUGUCUCAAAAAAAAAAAAAUGGGGAUAUAACUGAGUUGUAUGUAAAGUGCCCCUGGGUUUAAUCCCCUAUAUUGAAAAUCAAACCAAUCAAUAAAUAUACUUUAAAAAGGAAAAUAAAAAGAUUUUGGAGGAUAUGUAGAAUUUUUAACCUUUUCAUUACCAAUGCUAUGAAUAAAAAAAUGGUGCUACCUGUUAGAGUCUGUAAACAAGUCAAAAAUAACACCUAGCAUUUUGCCAGGGGAAUAUUAGAGUUUGUAAACAAGUCUGAAUGGUGCCUGGCAAAAUGCCAGAGGGAGUGGUUUGAGAAGUAACAAAAGCAAGCUAUUAAGUGUGGAGAUUCCUUAUUGGUUGACUGAUGUAUCUAGUUUAUGCUAAUAAGAUAAGCUGUGUGGAAUAUAUAAAUACUGCUCCUGUCCUGCAAUAAACGGCUCCUACUCCUGCUGUAUCAACGUUCACAAGUUGUUCGUCACCCCCCGGUUAUUUUGCUGCAGCCAGCCGGACUCCGGCAGCUACCACU